AACGAACGCUGGCGGCGUGCCUAAGACAUGCAAGUCGUGCGAGAAAGGGGCUUCGGCCCUGAGUACAGCGGCGCACGGGUGAGUAACGCGUGGGCAACCUACCUCGAAGUUGGGAAUAACCCGGGGAAACCUGGGCUAAUGCCGAAUGAGCCUACGAGGUCCUCGGAUCAUGUGGGAAAAGAUGGCCUCUGCUUGCAAGCUAUCGCUUUGAGAUGGGCCCGCGUCCCAUUAGCUAGUUGGUGAGGUAACGGCUCACCAAGGCUCCGAUGGGUAGCUGGUCUGAGAGGACGAUCAGCCACACUGGAACUGAGACACGGUCCAGACUCCUACGGGAGGCAGCGGUCGGGAAUCUUGGGCAAUGGGCGAAAGCCUGACCCAGCGACGCCGCGUGAGGGAUGAAGGCCUUCGGGUCGUAAACCUCUGUCAGGAGGGAAGAACGUCGGCGAGGUGAACAAUCUCGUUGGUUGACGGUACCUCCAAAGGAGGCGCCGGCUAACUCCGUGCCAGCAGCCGCCGUAAAAC
rnacentral:rRNA from 1 species